CAGUAGCCGCGGUAAUACGUAGGUGGCAAGCGUUAUCCGGAAUUAUUGGGCGUAAAGCGCGCGUAGGCGGUUUUUUAAGUCUGAUGUGAAAGCCCACGGCUCAACCGUGGAGGGUCAUUGGAAACUGGAAAACUUGAGUGCAGAAGAGGAAAGUGGAAUUCCAUGUGUAGCGGUGAAAUGCGCAGAGAUAUGGAGGAACACCAGUGGCGAAGGCGACUUUCUGGUCUGUAACUGACGCUGAUGUGCGAAAGCGUGGGGAUCAAACAGGAUUAGAUACCCGAGUAGUCCCUGUCUCUUAUAC
rnacentral:rRNA from 1 species